GAAUGUACUAAAGCAGCACAUAAAUACUGGAGGUGAUUGUGGUGUUAUCCAGUAUUGCUGUUCUGCUGUAGUAAGACC
ensembl:miRNA mir457b microRNA 457b